rnacentral:tRNA from 1 species
GCCGACGUAGCUCAGCCGGUAGAGCAGCUGAUUCGUAAUCAGCAGGUCGUGGGUUCAAGUCCCAUCGUCGGCUCCA